UACAGAGGGUGCGAGCGUUGUCCGGAAUCACUGGGCGUAAAGGGCGCGUAGGCGGCUUGAUAAGGUUGCGGUGAAAGCCCGGGGCUCAACCCCGGGUCGGCCGUGGCAACUGUCGAGCUGGAGCACUGUAGAGGCAGGUGGAAUUCCGGGUGUAGCGGUGGAAUGCGUAGAGAUCCGGAAGAACACCGGUGGCGAAGGCGGCCUGCUGGGCAGUGGCUGACGCUGAGGCGCGACAGCGUGGGAGCAAACAGG
rnacentral:rRNA from 1 species